UCAGCAUUGAGGCUAGUGUUGUUCAUUCAACAAGCCAUCCAGCCUUGUUAACAUAUCGGCGAGAAGCUAAUGAUGCAUAUGUUGAUUUUAAUGAUGCUUUUGCUGAUCUCAGCUGAAAUAGAAGCCAACCCGUUCACAAGAAGAGCUAAAGGUUGUGCCGAUCGGAAUCAAAAUUGUCACUGGAGAGUGGCUUGUUGUAGCCUUAAGGAUAAAUGCAAGAUGCGUCCAGAUCACAGAUUGCCAAGAUGUUUAUCAAUUUGAUUUGCCUAUGUUAAACUAUUAAACUCUGGAUGUCUUUAA